CACGUGAGUAACCUGCCCUUGACUUUGGGAUAACAUCUGGAAACAGGUGCUAAUACCGGAUAUGAGCCUUUUCCGCAUGGGGAGGGUUGGAAAGCUCCGGCGGUCAUGGAUGGACUCGCGGCCUAUCAGCUUGUUGGUGAGGUAGAGGCUCACCAAGGCUCCGACGGGUAGCCGGCCUGAGAGGGCGACCGGCCACAUUGGGACUGAGAUACGGCCCAAACUCCUACGGGAGGUAGCAGUGGGGAAUAUUGCACAAUGGGCGGAAGCCUGAUGCAGCAACGCCGCGUGCGGGAUGACGGCCUUCGGGUUGUAAACCGCUUUCAGCAGGGACGAAGCGUGAGUGACGGUACCUGCAGAAGAAGCACCGGCUAACUACGUG
rnacentral:rRNA from 1 species